UACGGAGGGUGCGAGCGUUGUCCGGAAUCAUUGGGCGUAAAGGGCGCGUAGGUGGCCCGGUCAGUUCGUGGUGAAAGCGCGGGGCUCAACCCUGCGUCGGCCAUGAAUACUGCCGCGGCUGGAGCACUGUAGAGGCAGGUGGAAUUCCGGGUGUAGCGGUGGAAUGCGUAGAGAUCCGGAAGAACACCGGUGGCGAAGGCGGCCUGCUGGGCAGUAGCUGGACGCUGAGGCGCGACAGCGUGGGGAG
rnacentral:rRNA from 1 species